AUGACAUUCGCCAGACAACCAGAGGAUCAACAAGGACCUUCGGGGUGGUUACGAAAGCCUCAGAAAGAAAAGAUGACUGUGACAAACUAUGAACUAUACUACAUGAUAAAUUCCUGUGGAUGGACCGAAAACUCGUUUCCUUAUAAUGAAGAUACUGGGGAAACAAACAAACAAACAUAUACUGUAUCUACUUUAGGGUCAAAUCAGUUUAAACGUUAGAUUGGAAAGAAAAAUACAACGUCCUCAAAGCUUUGAUGUCUUUGGGUGGUCUUUAAUAGAUAGUGAUAACUUAAUUUGCAGAAUGGAGAAUAUUUUAAAAAAAAAUCUGGUUAAGAAUAAUACCACUUGUACUAAAUGCUUCCCAUUUGUGGCAUUAAUUUACUCUGUAUCUCUUGAUUUCCACAAAGACCUGUGAAAUUCAGUUCUAUUUUGGUAGUCCUGUCUGGCAUUUAUUGACUUGGCAAGCGUGUCCAAUCAAUAAACAGCAAAAAAAUAAAAAAAUAAAAAUAAAA
rnacentral:lncRNA from 12 species